AUUGCAGAGGACAUCACAGCGAGGUUUCUCAACGUGAUGAGCCUAUUGUCGGGGAGUAUCCCGUUGAUUGCUAUUCAGCUGGAUGCGUUGAAAGUUGGCGAGAAUGUCCUGCUUAAUUUCGUGCAGGUGCUUGAUCAGACAGAUUUGCGAGUCGAUGACACGACUGAUGAUGGUGGCGGAGGUGCAACCGAUCGGAUGUAUUGGGACCAAAAGGUCGGCCCGGCUUUGAUGAAGGU
rnacentral:rRNA from 1 species